CCCGAAACGGGAAUGCCGCGUUGGUCAUUGUCGGUACAAACUCCACAACAAAGACACCGAGGAGUUUGGUAUGGCGCUCCAUGUGUGCGUAUCCCUGUUCGUGUCCGAUCAGAAUGGGUGUCGGUUUCGUCAUCGCGCGUGUCUCUCCGACGUCCAGUACGAAACGACAACCAUUCCCGUUGCCCCUGUGGUUGGGGCCACUUCGAAGCAACGAUUGUUUUAGGAAAACACUUGCCCAUCACACGUCUGCUCGAAUACACCAGGCGAUUCUCGGGGGCUUCGCUUGUGGACCCACUUUGUGCCUGCGCAUAAAUGCGCAACGCAACUCCAUGCACGAGACAGGUCAAAGACAGAAUUCUGUGUUUUUCGGAAAGGACAGUCUGGCGGGGAAGAGCGGUCGCGCGCUGACGAAAAUACUAGAGGCUCUCUCGUGAGUUCAGACUAACUGGAAUGGACGACAGUCAGUCAGGAAGCGCAAACGUGUAGCACGGAAGCACCACUCGUUAC
rnacentral:lncRNA from 1 species